rnacentral:rRNA from 1 species
UACCAGCACCCCGAGUGGUCGGGACGUUUUAUUGGGCCUAAAGCAUCCGUAGCCGGUUCUACAAGUCUUCCGUUAAAUCCAUCUGCUUAACAGAUGGGCUGCGGAAGAUACUAUAGAGCUAGGAGGCGGGAGAGGCAAGCGGUACUCGAUGGGUAGGGGUAAAAUCCGUUGAUCCAUUGAAGACCACCAGUGGCGAAGGCGGCUUGCCAGAACGCGCUCGACGGUGAGGGAUGAAAGCUGGGGGAGCAAACAGG